CAGUCGCCACGGUAAUACGAAGGGGGCUAGCGUUGUUCGGAUUUACUGGGCGUAAAGCGCACGUAGGCGGACUUUUAAGUCAGGGGUGAAAUCCCGGGGCUCAACCCCGGAAUUGCCUUUGAUGCUGAAAGUCUUGAGUAUGGUAGAGGUGAGUGGAAUUCCGAGUGUAGAGGUGAAAUUCGUAGAUAUUCGGAGGAACACCAGUGGCGAAGGCGGCUCACUGGACCAUUACUGACGCUGAGGUGCGAAAGCGUGGGGAGCAAACAGGAUUAGAUACCCCCGUAGUCCCUGUCUCUUAUAC
rnacentral:rRNA from 1 species